GAUGAACGCUGGCGGCGUGCCUAAUACAUGCAAGUCGAGCGAACGGACGAGAAGCUUGCUUCUCUGAUGUUAGCGGCGGACGGGUGAGUAACACGUGGAUAACCUACCUAUAAGACUGGGAUAACUUCGGGAAACCGGAGCUAAUACCGGAUAAUAUUUUGAACCGCAUGGUUCAAAAGUGAAAGACGGUCUUGCUGUCACUUAUAGAUGGAUCCGCGCUGCAUUAGCUAGUUGGUAAGGUAACGGCUUACCAAGGCAACGAUGCAUAGCCGACCUGAGAGGGUGAUCGGCCACACUGGAACUGAGACACGGUCCAGACUCCUACGGGAGGCAGCAGUAGGGAAUCUUCCGCAAUGGGCGAAAGCCUGACGGAGCAACGCCGCGUGAGUGAUGAAGGUCUUCGGAUCGUAAAACUCUGUUAUUAGGGAAGAACAUAUGUGUAAGUAACUGUGCACAUCUUGACGGUACCUAAUCAGAAAGCCACGGCUAACUACGUGCCAGCAGCCGCGGUAAUACGUAGGUGGCAAGCGUUAUCCGGAAUUAUUGGGCGUAAAGCGCGCGUAGGCGGUUUUUUAAGUCUGAUGUGAAAGCCCACGGCUCAACCGUGGAGGGUCAUUGGAAACUGGAAAACUUGAGUGCAGAAGAGGAAAGUGGAAUUCCAUGUGUAGCGGUGAAAUGCGCAGAGAUAUGGAGGAACACCAGUGGCGAAGGCGACUUUCUGGUCUGUAACUGACGCUGAUGUGCGAAAGCGUGGGGAUCAAACAGGAUUAGAUACCCUGGUAGUCCACGCCGUAAACGAUGAGUGCUAAGUGUUAGGGGGUUUCCGCCCCUUAGUGCUGCAGCUAACGCAUUAAGCACUCCGCCUGGGGAGUACGACCGCAAGGUUGAAACUCAAAGGAAUUGACGGGGACCCGCACAAGCGGUGGAGCAUGUGGUUUAAUUCGAAGCAACGCGAAGAACCUUACCAAAUCUUGACAUCCUUUGACAACUCUAGAGAUAGAGCCUUCCCCUUCGGGGGACAAAGUGACAGGUGGUGCAUGGUUGCCGUCAGCUCGUGUCGUGAGAUGUUGGGUUAAGUCCCGCAACGAGCGCAACCCUUAAGCUUAGUUGCCAUCAUUAAGUUGGGCACUCUAAGUUGACUGCCGGUGACAAACCGGAGGAAGGUGGGGAUGACGUCAAAUCAUCAUGCCCCUUAUGAUUUGGGCUACACACGUGCUACAAUGGACAAUACAAAGGGCAGCGAAACCGCGAGGUCAAGCAAAUCCCAUAAAGUUGUUCUCAGCUCGGAUUGUAGUCUGCAACUCGACUACAUGAAGCUGGAAUCGCUAGUAAUCGUAGAUCAGCAUGCUACGGUGAAUACGUUCCCGGGUCU
rnacentral:rRNA from 1 species